rnacentral:sRNA from 1 species
UGAUAGAUGCAUCUUGUUGAUAAACCUCCAGUAGGAGACAACUGGGGGAUUUUUCA